CUCAGUGUCUCUCAAGAUUGUCAUGAGAUUUGAAUGAGAUAGCAUGCAAAGUACACAGUACCGUGACUCGCAUCAAGUGUUCAAGAAAUGGAAGUUAUUAUUAAGAUUGGGAAGAGGAUCCCAGAGUCAGGGCUGGUACAGCCUGAAGAACAAGCAGGAUUUGCUCAACAUGGGAGCCCAGGAACCUCUCUUUGCACCAUGGAUUCUUCAUCUCAGCAACCAACAUCUGUGGGCAACUUCUCAGCCAGAGUCAUGACUUAAGGAGCUGUACUCCUGUGUGAAAUUGGCAGGAUCUGAGCUCUUCUGCCUAUCAAGAUCCAUGCUGGCUGGCACAAGCACAGAAAUUCCUUUUAAAAUUGAACAUGUCAGCCAAAUUAAUCCCAUUAAACUCUAAGUGACCUUCCACUGAGGAAAGCUCAUUAAGAAGGAUAUUGCUGUGUUACUAUUCCUACUCUACCAUAGAAAUUUUCUUAGGGAAAUGAAGGUUUUUUUUAAUGUCAUAGAAUAUCAGAGGUAGAGGUAAUCUUAAAGAUCAUAGUCGGCUGUGGAGCUCAGCCCAUCCAAUCAUUUUAUUUCACAAAUACUUGGCAUUUGUGAAAUAAAAUUCACAUCAGAAUAUGUGAAUAGGCCGGGCGUGAUGGCUCACGCCUGAAUCCCAGCACUUCAGAAGACCAACACGGGUGGAUCACUUGAGGUCAGGAGUUCAAGACCAGCCUGGCCAACAUGGUGAAACCUCGCCUCUACUAAAAAUACAAAAAUUAGCUGAGCAUGGUGUCACGUGCCUGUAAUCCCAGCUACUCGGGAGGCUGAGGUAAGAGAAUUGCUUGAACCUGGGAGGUGGAGGUUGCAGUGAGCCAAGAUCCUGCCACUGCUCUCCAGCCUGGGCAAUAGAGUGAGACUCCAUCUGAAAAAAAAAAAUGUAAAUAAAAUUCACAUCAGAAUAUGUGAAUUACCUAAGGAUUUUUCCUUAGCUGAAACAUAAAAUACAUGUACUAUACUACAUCCGUAAUUUGAUUUAUGAAAUGAAAUAAAGCAACCAAUACAUUUUGAUGUUUUCUUUUAGUCCCUUAAAAUAAAUCUCCAUAUAAUCUAAUUUAGUGCCUUGUUUAAGGAUAACUUGAAAUAGUUCUUCAUGUAAUUUUCUAAUCUAUGCUAAUCCUAUGUUGAUUCCAAUGUCUUUUCUGGCCUGAUUGAUCUCUGCAAACAUAAAAAUAAACCUUAUUCUUAUUCUUCAGUGUUUUUCUAAGCUCUAACCCAUUUUUGACAUUUUUCACAGGUUUGAGUCCACUGCCUCCUCCCCUAUAUCACUAUGUAAAUCUUGAUUUUUUCUGUGUACAGUCCUUCCUCAGUAUGGGAGGGGAUUGGUUCCAGGACCCCCAAGGAUACUAAAAUCCAUGGAUGCUCAACUACCUUAUAUAAAAAAUGUAGUAUUUGCAUAUAACUUACACACAUCCUCCCAUACACUUUAAAUCAUCUCUAGAUUACUUAUACUAUGUAAUGCAAUGUAAAUGCUAUGCCUAUAGUUGUCAUACUAUAUUUUUCAAUUUAUAUUAUUAUCACACUGUAAUUUUUAAUUUAUAUUAUUUUUAUUGUUGUAUUGUUCUUUUAGUCUUAAUAUUUUCAGUCCAUGAUUAGUUGAAUCUACAGUUGCAGAAUCCACAGAUAUCCUGAGCCAAAUGUGCUAAUCUCUAGGUUGAACUUUAACAUGGUAGUAAGUUCUUGUACUUCAGAUUUGGGGCUUCCAAUGUCAAUUAGAGUUUAGGAAAAAACAAGCAAAGUCCAACAUGAGAUUCACUAUUACUAUUACUGUUACUAACAACAACAAUGGCUAAUCUGUAGAGUAUUUACUAUGUGUAGGACAACUUCCUAAGUGGAUUACCUUGUUUUAUCAUAGCGCCUGAUUUUAUCAAGAGGAUGGUGAUAUUAUAAUCUCCUGUGGAUCAGGAAACAGGCUCAGAGUUAGGUAGUUCGCCUACAGUCACACAACUAGGAAUAGUAGAACCAAGACUUUAGUCGCAGCAGUCUGAUAUCAGAGCCCUUUCUCAACUACUAUGCCAUUCUGCCUAUAAACUUGUGAUAGAGUACAGUAAGAGACUAGGCUGGAAAAUAAUUUUUGAUCAGAUUUAUUAGGAAGCUUUGAAUGUCAUGCAAAGAGAUGGUAUAAAGAAGGGCACUUUAAAAGAUUAUGCAUGUAAAAUGAAAAUAAGAAAAAAGGCCAGGCCUGGUGGCUCACGCCUGUUAUCCCAACACCUUGGGAGAUCAAGGUGGGUGGAUCACCUGAGGUCAGGAGUUUGAGACCAGCCUGGCCAACAUGGUGAACCCCCGUCUCUACUAAAAAUACAAAAAAUUAGCUGGGCAUGGUGGUGCACUCCUGUAAUCCCAGCUACUUGGGAGGCUGAGACAGGAGAAUUGCUUAAACCCAGCAGGCAGAGGUUGCAGUGAGCCUAGAUCGCACCAUUGCACUCCAGCCUGGGCGACAAGAAGUGAAACUCCAUCUCAAAAAAAUAAAGAAAUAAUAAAGAAAAAAAAUUUAAGUAAAAAAAGAGAUAGGGAGGCACCUAACCCAGCCUGGGAGGAGGGAAGUCAAGAAAAAAUUCACAGAUGAGUUGCCCUCUCAGCUGAUUUUUGAACAAAAAGUAGCAGUUAGCCAGUGAGUCAGAGGGGUGCUCCAAUCAGUGGGAAGAGCGUGUAGAAAAGAACAGAAAUAACACAAAAGGGUGUGGUGUGUUUAGGUACCGCAUAAGAUUUAAUAAUCAUAGUAUGGAUAGAUAAAUGAAUGGUAGAAUUAAUUGGUGUAUGAAUGGUUGAAUUUCCAUGGAAAUUGAUACUAGAAGAAGAUGAAAGUACAGAAAAAUCUAAAAGUUGUUAGUAAUUCUUUUCCAAGCUCCAGCCACAAUUAUCUAAAACUGAUGGCUCCAACUUAAUAUUGAAUGUUAAGGCACGGUGGCUCACACUUGUAAUCCCAGCACUUUGGGAGGCUGAGGCAGGUGGAUCACUUGAGCUCAGGAGUUCAAGACCGGCCUGGCCAACAUGGUGAAACUCCAUCUCUACAAAAAUACAAAAAUUAGCCAGCCGUGGUGGCAGGAGCCUGUAAUCCCAGCUACUCGGGAGGCUGAGGCAGGAGAAUCACUUGAAUCCGGGAGGCAGAAGCUGCAGUGAGCCGAGAUCACGCCAUUGCACUCCAGCCUAAGCAACAAGAGCGAAACUCUGUCUCAAAAAAAAAGCUAAAAGGCCCUUCUUUUGGGACAUUAAAAAACCAUUUAACUGUCACAGACCAGAGUAGACUAAAGAUACUUGACAAUUAAAUGCGAUUUGGCACCCUGGAUUAGAUCCCAGAACAGAAAGAGAACAUUAAUGGGAAAAUUAAAUCCAAAUAAAGUCUUGAGAAUAGUCCACAGUAAUGUACCAAUGUUGAUUCUUAGUUUUGACAGAUGUACCAUGAUAACAUAAGAUAGUCUCCUAUAAACAAUAGGAGAAACUGGCUGAAGCGUAUAUGAAAACUCUCUGUACUAUCACUGCAACUUUUUUAUAAAAAUAAAAAUAAUUUCAAAAUAAAUGGAGACAUGUUGGUCAAAGAGUACAAGUUUCAGUUAUAAGAUGAAUAAAAGUUCUAGAGUACAGUAUAACAUGGCAAACAUAGUUAAUAAUAAAUAUAAUACUUGAAAUUUAUUAAGGGAGUAGAUUUUAAGUGUUCUUACCACACAUACACACAAAUAUUAAUAACUAUGCAAGGUGAUGAAUGUAUUAAUUAGUUUGAUUGUGGGAAUCAUUACAUAAUGUAUACUUAUAUGAAAAUGCCAUGUUGUAUAACUUAAAUAUACACAAUUUCUAAUUUGUAAGUCACAUCUCAAUAAAAUUUUUUAAAAAUAAAAUAAAAACUUUAAACUGAAAAAUACUUCUAAACAGCUAUUAGUUAAAAAGGAAAUUUGCAACUGAGAUAAUUAUGUUUUGUUAUUAUUGAUAAUGAAAAUUAUACAUUUUAUGAUAAUUUAUGAUAAUGAAAAUUAAUAAUAAUGAAAAUGCUGCAUUUCAGAAUCUAUGGGCUAUAUUUAAAGCUGUUAUCAGAGGAAAAUUCAUAGCCUCAAAUGCUUUAUCAAUAUAAAGGAAAGAAUUUGCUUUAAAACUAAAUUCCCAACUCAUAAAAGCUAAACAAUAACAGCAACAACAACAACAAAGUAAACUAAAAUAUAGCACAAGUCAGUGGCUCUAGUGGUGCAACUGGUUAGCACACAGUACUUAUAAAAAAGUCAACCUAAAUAAUAGAGAUUCUCCUGUGAUACCCUACCUUGUUUUAACCUGAUUGUCUCCCUUAGCUGAGAAAGCUGGACCCAUUUUAGUUUCGUCACUUGCAGUCCCCCUUACCCCCCUCCCUUAAGGGCAUAACUAGUGCAAGCUAACUCCAAGCACACCCAGGAUGCACUUACUGAUAAGAUAUUGAGGCAAGCUGUACCAGCAGCUCCUGGGGAUGUGCUCGGUGGAUGGUACCCAAAGCACCUGCAUUAUCUCUUUGUGACAGUUAAAGCCCCUGCACCUGGAACUGCUUAUUUUUCUGUAACUAUCUCUGUAACCAUUAAUUUUUUUUUAACUUUUUGCCUGUUCUGCUUCUGUAAAAAUUGCUUCAGCUAGGCUCCCCGCUCCCCUUUUAGACCAAGGUAUAAAAGAAAAUCUAGCCCCUUCUUUGGGGCCAAGAGAAUUUUGAGCUCUAGCCGUCUCUCGGUCACCAGCAAUAAAGGACUCCUGAAUUAGUCUCAGAGUGUGGCAUUUCUCUAUAACUCGCUCGGUUACAAUACUCCAAAGAUAAGUUUGGCUGGACACAGUGGUUCAUGCCUGUAAUCCCAGCACUUUGGGAGGCCGAGAUGGGAGGAUCACCUGAGCCUGGGAGGUCAAGGCUGCAGUAAGCCAUGAUCACAUCACUGCACUCCAGCCUGGGUGACAGAGUGAGAACUUGUGUUUAUUUUAUUUUAUUUUAUUUUUUAU
rnacentral:lncRNA from 10 species